UAAGCGCCUCCUUGGAAUCUGGCACCAUGUUAUAUACAGCGGGGAAUUCAAAACACACGUACUACCCUGUGCAGUGGUCUCGGGUGUACCGACUAAUCGGUAAAUUGAAACGAACACAGGACAAGAUGAAACUAAGGCGGAAAAGAAACCACAUCUCAAUGAUCCAGAGAACUUUGGCUAAGAAGACAACUGCAGAGGAACAAGAGGCUGUGGUCCUGAGAGGGGAGUGGAAAGGAUGACUUAUUUGAAAAUGGUUAUGUAAGCCAAGAUGGCCCUAUCAGAGCAAACCUGGCAUUCUCAGAUGAUUGUGGGAGGAGGUGCGCAUUUUCCACUGCAUAGAGACAAGAGUGCAUGUGUCUCCCAUAUGAGGA